UACCAGCACCCCGAGUGGUCGGGACGAUUAUUGGGCCUAAAGCAUCCGUAGCCGGUUCUACAAGUCUUCCGUUAAAUCCACCUGCUCAACAGUUGGGCUGCGGAGGAUACUAUAGAGCUAGGAGGCGGGAGAGGCAAGCGGUACUUAGUGGGUAGGGGUAAAAUCCGUUGAUCCAUUGAAGACCACCAGUGGCGAAGGCGGCUUGCCAGAACGCACUCGACGGUGAGGGAUGAAAGCUGGGGGAGCAAACCGGG
rnacentral:rRNA from 1 species